GGCGGCAUGCUUAACACAUGCAAGUCGAACGGCAGCAUGACCUAGCUUGCUAGGUUGAUGGCGAGUGGCGAACGGGUGAGUAACGCGUAGGAAUAUGCCUUGAAGACUGGGAUAACUUGGGGAAACUCAAGCUAAUACCGGAUGAUGUCUUAGGACGAAAGCUGGGGACCUUCGGGCCUGGCGCUUUAAGAUUAGCCUGCGUCCGAUUAGCUAGUUGGUGGGGUAAGGGCCUACCAAGGCGACGAUCGGUAGCUGGUCUGAGAGGAUGGCCAGCCACACUGGAACUGAGACACGGUCCAGACUCCUACGGGAGGCAGCAGUGGGGAAUAUUGGACAAUGGGGGCAACCCUGAUCCAGCAAUGCCGCGUGUGUGAAGAAGGCCUGAGGGUUGUAAAGCACUUUCAGUGGGGAGGAGGGUUAAUAGGUUAAGAGCUAAUUGAUUGGACGUUACCCACAGAAGAAGCACCGGCUAACUCCGUGCCAGCAGCCGCGGUAAUACGGAGGGUGCAAGCGUUAAUCGGAAUUACUGGGCGUAAAGCGUGCGU
rnacentral:rRNA from 1 species